UUGUCUACAUGUAUUUCUCUCUGUUAGUUGUUCUUAACCACUGAGACAUCUCAUCAGCCCCACCUAGGAUGGGCUUUUACCUCUGUUAUUAAAGCCAAAGCCCCACACCCAUCCUCCAGCAUGCUCUUGGCAGCUAAACAAAGCUGCAGCCACACCUGCCAACAUUUGUGCAGGGUAAAUACACUGCUGUUUUCUCUGUACGAGAUACUCUUCCCUUGUUCAUGACACGCUUCUCAGAACAAUGAGGUUACCAGCCUGAAAAUGGCAGUCGUAUAUAAAUCCUCUUAUCCCAUGGACAGAUUCUGUGAAGAUCAGCAGCUAUGUCUCCAAACACAGCAUUUUAGGAGCCCCAAGAAUCACCAGCAUCCGCCAGCAGCGACUGAUUCAGUAGGCUGGGUAAAGAAUUCAAAAUGCAAGAAGCCAGAAGCAUCGUGGUUCAUUUCCAUGGCCAAAUAUUUGCAAGUGUGUAUUCCAGGGGUUUAUAGUGCUUGUAUCACUAGUGUUUCUUUGGUAGUACAAGCUAAACUGUUUUCCUUGAAGGGAGGUGAGAUUCAUAAAACCACAGUGUUCUGUGUCCUGUGAAGCAUGUUAACUAUCUGUUGUAAAAGCAAAUAAAUGUUUAUGGCCUCUGAUGUUGUGGUAAAUACAGUGGCACUGUUAUUUGAUGGUCAACCUCACAUGGGACAGUGCAAGUAAUGAAAAUCACAGGUCCAGGAUCAAUGUCCCAGGAUUUGGGAUGAGUGGAUGGCAUCACUUUGUUUUGUUUUGCUUGGUGUUCUCACAUGCAAGUUAGGAUACAAGCAUGGCAUACUUGGAAGAGUUACAGCAGGCUUGAUUCAGAUGAUCGCAGAGGGAACCCAGCAAGCAAGCACUGCAGAUUUCGAUGAUCACCACAAUUGACAGUGCCCACAAAAAUUGUGCAAGACAAGGGUAGAGAAAUGGCUUAGUGGUUAAAAAGUACUUGCUGUUCUUCCUAAAGUUCUAGGUUCAGUUCCCAGCACCCACAUGGCUGCUCACAACUGCCUAUAUUUCCAGUUGCAAGAGAUCUGACAGCCUCUUCUCAUUUCUAUGGACACUGCAUUAAAAUGGCACACCAACUGUACACUCAGGUAUACAACAUACGCAUAUGAAUUAAAUAAAUGCAUAGGCCUUUUUAAAUAGUUGGGAAUGCAUUCUAUAUUUAAUUUAUUCAUUAAUUUUAAUGUAACCAGUAGUUAGUGGUGAACACACUCCACUCUGAUAGAUACCAUGGCUAAGUAGGAUGUGAAAUAUACCCCAAGAGAGUUUAAACAUGAGCAGCAGAAGAAUCAUAAACACAGGGAUCUUUGUAGUGAUGGAAUUAUAUUCUGUAUGCACAAUAUACAUUGUACAAUGUAUGGCACAUCACAAAAACACAAGAUAGUAAAAGAGAAAGAAAGCAGACAUAACCCAAUAGACACUGGAGGUGAUAAACCCAGACCAUCAAAGAGCCAGGGAAGAUUAAAAAAGAAAAAAAGAAAAAGCAGGGAGCUCUUCUCUUGAGAAGUAUUCACAUUUGGGUAAAAGGUUAACUGAAAGAGAGAACCAUGGGCCUAGCUGAGAGAUGGGCUUUCUAGGCAGAAGGCAACCUCUGGGCUGCCUUCUCAGGCAGUGGGGGCGUGGGAAGUAGGCUUCAGUGAGCAGUGUAAGUCCUGAAUCCAGGAGAAUUCUUUCUCUUUAUUUUGAUUGUAGGUGAGAAUUCUAAACUCUAAGUUUUGAGGAUGUUAAAACAUUUUUUCUAAAUGGCACAAGUGCAGGAUUUGAAUCUCCUGGAAAAGGGCCAGGAGAGAAAGACAAAUAUCACAUUAUUUCAUAGUUUAUUGUUUAUACUAUGGAAGCAUUGGUGUCUUAAAACUUCAGCGGGCACUAGUGCUUAAAGGUCAUUUACACAUAUGUUUAAACAGCAUUAAGAAGCAUAUCUAAUGAUGACAAGGACAGUCUUAACUCCACUGACACAGAUCAUCCAUUACAUAGGACUGCUGUCUCCCUGUUUAAAGGGAGAGGGCUGUGGAGUUGGCUUAGCUGGUAAAGUGUUUGUCACUCAAGUAUGAGGGCCUGGGUUAGAUGGCCAGAACCCGCACACAGAAAAAGUCAGGAGUAGUUAUAUCUGCUUGUAAUCUAACUGUUGGGGACAGGGAGACAGGAGGAUCUUGGGGCACCCUGGCCAGUCAGCCUGACCUAAUUGCAGAGCCCCAGAUUCUACUGAGAGGUCCAGUCUCACAGAAGAUGGAUAGCUCCAGAACAAAUCAACCUGAGGCUCGUUAGCAUUUGCUUUUAGAAGUAAGUGCACAUAUACAUGCACUUCUUGUGCAUGUGUGUGCACAUACAUAAUACAUGUGAAAUCCAGAGCAUGAGAGCUCCAUCCAGGGGAUCUGAAAUGAAAGCCCUUUGGAAGUUUUGUAUGUGAGAUAGUUCCAUGAAAAUGAUAUGUCUCCACAAGCUAGAGCAUCCCUCUGGCCUGUGCAGGUGGAUCUUAAGGAACAGACAUGCACACUCUAAGAGUGUUCUUAUGCAUACAAUAUUACAACUCACAUUAACUACAAAGCAUUCCUUAUAUGCAAUAACCAGUAUCUUUUAGCUCACUUGUACAGGCAUUUCUCUACAGAAAACUGUUUCUCAAAGCACACUUCCUGUUGAUUUAAAUGCUCAUAAGCUUGUUAGCAUAAAAUGAAAGAGAGAGUUUGACAAUUCAUCCAGACAACUGCAAAUGCAGCAUUUUAAUUAUUUCGUGUAUUUUAUGAAGACAAUAUGCACCACCCGUACUCCGCAGCUUUGCAUCUUUCCAGAUCUUUGGCAGAAGAGUUCCUGCCACAUCUCCAACAGAUGGCCUGCUGAUUUGAAAGCCCCAUGUUCACCAAAAAUAUUGGAAUAUGGUAAAAGUUGAAUUAAUAAAAUUAUAUGCAAACAUCCAACAAAACUUAGUAUUUGUGCCAAAUUCAAUAUUCAUUUGGAGCUCCUCACCACUAGAUCCUGCCCAAGCCAUGGAAAUGUAUUCUUAAGACUUCUGCUGGCCCCAACAUGGAAGCCAGAUGGGAGAUUUGAUUUAAUCUGGCCCUAUUAAGCUGAAGCAUAUUUCUGCCCCUGGUAUUCUGUGCCUCCCCUCUGGCUUUAAAUGCUACAGCAGACAGGUCUCAAGUAUGAACUUUGUGGUGAUUUGACUCACAAAACACUAUGGCCAUAGAUGGUUCACAGCACUGAAAUCUUGUCCUGGUUGUUCUUUGUGGCUGUUCUGAAUGUACUUGGGUACUGAAAAAUAUUAACCUUUACUUAAGAGGCACUAGUUUCACUCCUGUCUCCCAACCUCAAAGCUGUCUCUAGACAUCACGUAACAUCCCCUAGGCACGGCCACUGAUUGUUGAGCACCGCUGCGGGGGCUGAUUUGAGGGAGACAGAAGCUUAUUCCAUCCCUGUAGACUGCUUCACCCUCACCAUCGCACUGUACCGCUAACGGGCUUUAACUCACUGCAGUAAUGAAAAU